UUUAGAUGCCCACAUAUGGAUUUAGGCUUUUAAAUUUAGGCACCCACUUUUGUUGUUGUUUUGAAAUCUUGGCCGGAAUAUAGAACCUCUUCUUCUGGUACACAAUGAGGCAUAGGAUUCUACUGUGAGUGCACCAUAGUGAUAAGAAGAAUGGACCUGCACAGACAUGACCAACUCUGUAAAGAGAGGGCAUUAUCAUUAGAUACCUUCUAAAGAGAUAGCUUCAUGGAGGAGCAGCAACUUUCUUAAACAAUAGGUACGAUAUGGGUAAUAGCUGUGCAGGCUUCCUCACACUGCCUGGCCAAUGUGCUUCAAUCCUGUUCUGGAAGAACCACCUGUACAGAUGGGACAGUGAGCCCACCCACUCCUGGGCCUCGCUGCUGAGAUUCCCAGCGCUGGUAGGAUGUUUGGUGGUGUGCGCACUCAUCCACUUGGAACUGAACUUUGGCAACUAAUGGUUUCACAUUAGCCACUACCUAUCUAGCUGGACUUGAACAAGUGACCUACAGGAGAGUCCCUCUAUGCCAUUACUAAUUCCCUUUAGUUAUUCUCAGCAUGUCAUUAAUCCUUCACCCACCAUUAGGAAUUGGAACACUUCAAUAUUCGGCUACUAGGAGAGUAAAAAUGGCUUCAUGCUGCACAUCGCUUCCCUUCUGUGGCUGAGUGUGAUGGGGCAUCUGCCCCACACUGGCAGAAAAGGAGCCCUACGGAGGCUGUGCAGGAGGCAGCCAAUCACAGAAGGGCUUAUAGGAGCAGCCAAUCAGGGCCAGGUUGGUCCAUAUAAGAAGGGCUGCAGAACAGAACAGGGUCAGUCACUCCCUGCAGCUUGAGAAGGGAAGAGGACUGGCUGCCUUGCAGGCAGAGGGCUGCAAGCACCCGGGACAGAGCAGUGCUGCAGGCAGAGAGCUAAAGGCAGCCCCUGGCAGGCUGCAGGGAUCUGCAGACUGAGGCCCUGAUGCAAGGGCAAGAGGGUGCUGGAGCCACGUGGGAAGUGUCUAGACUGUGGACUGCAGUUUGCCACUGAAGGAAGUGGCCAGACAGUAGACUGCAGGUUCCCCCAGAAGGGGGAACAUAGUGCGGCACAGCCAGAGGGCAGUGUCACUGAAGAGGAUGUUGUGGUCCUGGGAGUGACUUGGGUCCAGGAACAGAGGUGACAUUGGUUGAGACACCAUCAGAAGAGGGUGCAGUGCUAAUUUCCCAUACAGCCAGCAGGAGGCACUGCAGUGGUGAAUUGCAUCCUGUCACGUGUGGUGGAGAAUGUGGGCACAUGGUCAUCCCUGAUAUAAGGGGAGGAUAGAGACUUUGGGGACGAUUGCCUGUCUCAGAGUUGAGUUGAGAGACUGGGGGACACAGAAGGUGGAGACAAUGGAGUCAGGGUAUGCAGAGGCCUUUCUUGCAGAGGGUUCUUGUGGCUUCCCAGACUGGACUCCAAAGUUGGUGCCCCCGUGAAAAGGAGCCAACAAGCAGCAAGGGCGACUUCAGACCCUGCUGCUUCAGGUGCUCACAACCCAGCAGAGACAAUGGGAGGCAUGGGAGUACCUGCAGGCCUGUAUGACCCAACUAGCAGAGCAGCAGCUGUACCUAUUCAAGUCACUGCGAGUGGGGGGUCUAUAGAGGCCCCGGAGAGUGA